ACAUGUUUGACCGCCGUGCUCAUCAUCUAUCAUAAAGUGGAAAUUAAACAUAAAGGAUAAUUCGUUUGUAAUAAAAAAAAAACUCAACGUUGUUUACUGAAGCCUGGCCCUGACAAACGAACAUGAUUUGAUAGAUCUGCAGGGAUGGUUUUUGCGGGAUCAAAUUGCGUAAUGCGUGUGUCAUAUCCGUUGAGAAAAGUUGCUCCGGAUACUUUGACGCAUGCAUGGGGCAGUGGCUAGUUGUUGUCACAAUGAGCCAGAAAGUUGACUUGGAGCAUCUCGAACCUCCGGGGAAUCGCCCGUUUGAAAAAAGAAAUAAACGCCGAACAGAGAAGAGUCUGCUGGCAAAAAGACAACGCGACAGAGCUUGUAAUAAAAUGAGAAUCAACAUUGGCUUGGCUUUUGCGACGCGGAGAUGGAGUUUUUAUUACUCAACAGUUGAUGUAGUCCAAGAAAGUGGUGUGAUUCUCGCACACUGUGACUCACAGAAUCCCACCAGAUCCUCCUGCACAGUCUGAGGAUCAGCACAGCAGAGGGUGGUGGAGACACUCUGAUUUAAAGAUAAGCCCAUUAAGCUCUGGAAUUCCACUUUGCCAGUGAACCAAAUCCCUGUCUCCUGUCUCUUCUGUCUUUCCCUAUGGACCGUCCUGUGAAUAUACAAGAUGGCUUGUGUCACUGCGCUGCCCUGCGCUCUCCGACGCAGAAACACUGCGGAACAGUCCGUCCACAGGCAGAUCUCACAGCCUGUCAUGUUGUGAACCCUUUGCUCUAGAUGCCAUUGCUUCCUGCUUUUCUUCUUCAAAAUAUCACUUUAAUUAGUCCUAGUUCUUAUCUUCUCCAGCAGAGGCUGUUUUAUGUGCAUAUCUUUAAUUAGGAACGUAAAUGUUAAGCAUAGGAUAGAGCAUAAAGUCAUGGGGUGGAUUGUUUUUUGUCCAGAGAAUAUUGUAUAUUUUAUGUAUUAUUUAAUUAUAACAAAUUAUAACAUGAGAAAUAUAUAUUUGUUAAUUUCAUUGGAGAUUGAGAGAAGACUUACUGCAGAGUACUGCGACUAUUUUUAGAUGCAAAUGUGAGUGAAAUUCUUGCACUGUCAAGCCCUGCAAGCAGAAUUGUAAAUUCCACUUUAUCUGUCUUCUGGGCAAAUAGAAAUACUGAUAGGCAUGUUCUGCUAAUUCCUCCUGUGUUUAUUUUUUUGUUUUUUUUUAGGUGACAAUCUAUUUUUGUGGCAGCACCUGCCGCUGUUUUAAGUGGGUGGUUCUUGGACAGAAUAAACUACAAAAUAGACCAGACUUUAUGUAACACAACAAAGUGCGAGUUAUGGUUACAGUUAGGGUCAGAGUUUUGGCUUACAGACGUGUGAGAGUGAAAUCAAUGAGAGCCUAGUGUGUCAGUAUUAGAGAUGUCACGGUGAGGAAAUUUUCUCACAGUUUAAUAAAUUUGUGGCAAAAACCGCUUUUCAAUGUGUGCUCGCUUUUUGCUUUCAUUUUAGAAUUUGUGGUCUUGAUCAGGGGGUGG